UACGUAGGGGGCUAGCGUUGUCCGGAUUUAUUGGGCGUAAAGAGCGUGUAGGCGGCCAGAUAGGUCUGCUGUGAAAACUCGAGGCUCAACCUCGAGAUGUCGGCAGAAACCAUCUGGCUAGAGUCCGGAAGAGGAGAGUGGAAUUCCCGGUGUAGCGGUGAAAUGCGCAGAUAUCGGGAAGAACACCAGUGGCGAAGGCGGCUAUCUGGACGGUUUCUGACGCUAAGACGCGAAAGCGUGGGGAGCAAACAGG
rnacentral:rRNA from 1 species